UACGUAGGGUGCGAGCGUUAAUCGGAAUUACUGGGCGUAAAGUAUGCGCAGGCGGCCGAGCAAGUCGAGUGUGAAAGCCCCGGGCUUAGCUUGGGAAUUGCGCUCGAAACUACUUGGCUGGAGUGUGGCAGAGGAAGGUGGAAUUCCAGGUGUAGCGGUGAAAUGCGUAGAGAUCUGGAGGAACACCGAUGGCGAAGGCAGCCUUCUGGGCCAACACUGACGCUCAUGCACGAAAGCGUGGGGAGCAAACAGG
rnacentral:rRNA from 1 species